rnacentral:tRNA from 1 species
UCUCUGGCAGUAUAUCGGUUAGUACACGCGCCUGUCGCGCGCGAAAGCUGGGUUCGACUCCCAGCCAGAGAG